CCCUGGAGUUACAAAUUCCGAUGGGUAACAGAUUUCGGUACAACACCUGCUAGCAUCACACAGUGAAGCAUGGAGCAGCUAACGUGGACAAAAUGACCACACAAACAAAUGCCACCGCAGCAGUGUGGGAAUAUUUCAGUUGAAACAUUUGGAACAAGAUGAGACUAUCAACACCGAGAAGCCAGGUUGCCGAAUAUGCGUGACUACAACAACGCCCACUUGACAAACAACCAGCUGACGGUCUACUCACUUCGCGUUUGGACAGCUGAAUGAACUGAGGAUGAACUACUGCUCCUAGAAGCGAGCAUGAAGAAGAGGGUGAGACGUUGGAGCAGACGGAAGCCGAGAGAGUGAGGUCGGCGUGACUCGCAGCUGCAGAUGUGGAAUUUGGAGACGAGCUAUUUCGACAUAAAGGGAGUGCUUACCCCCAAAUACUCCGGAAAACACGUCCCUGGCCAGCUGGACCAAACAGAAAACUGUCCAAUCGAAUUCCUCAUGACUGUCCCACCGUUUCUCAACCAAGGUGCUCUGUUUGUGUGUGUGUACUUGGUCCUUGUCACGUGAUCCAAACUACAGUUGUGACGUAGGCGUCAGACACCCCCGCCCCAACCCAUGCCCCCAUAUCCAAGCCUGCCAUGUCCAAAUAGAGGCACCCCAUGGCACCCUCCCUGCCAAAUAUAUCCCUUACGUCACAGGCGUGUCAAACUCCU